rnacentral:rRNA from 1 species
GUCGAACGAGAUCUUCGGAUCUAGUGGCAGACGGGUGAGUAACGCGUGGGAACCUGCCCAGUAGUAGAGGACAACUUGGGGAAACUUAAGCUAAUACUUUAUACGUCCUUCGGGAGAAAGCUUUAUGCGCUAUUGGAUGGGCCCGCGUUAGAUUAGUUUGUUGGUGAGGUAAUGGCUCACCAAGACUACGAUCUAUAGCUGGUCUGAGAGGAUGAUCAGCCACACUGGGACUGAGACACGGCCCAGACUCCUACGGGAGGCAGCAGUGGGGAAUAUUGGACAAUGGGGGCAACCCUGAUCCAGCGAUGCCGCGUGAGUGAUGAAGGCCCUAGGGUUGUAAAACUCUUUCGUCAGGGAAGAUAAUGACGGUACCUGAAGAAGAAGAUCCGGCUAACUCCGUGCCAGCAGCCGCGGUAAUACGGAGGGAUCUAGCGUUAUUCGGAAUUACUGGGCGUAAAGCGAGCGUAGGCGGAUUUGUAAGUUGGAGGUGAAAUCCCAGAGCUUAACUCUGGAACUGCCUCAAAAACUACAUUUCU